GUGGAACCCCUGCCCUAGUGGGUGCAUUGUUGGAUAAGUAUGAUUUUAUUUGCAGGUACGCAAAGGUUAGUUUGUGGGGGAGGUUGAAUUCCUGCUGUAGGUCCGAGAAGGGUUUAAGACCCUUUUCGUUGUAUAGUUGGACAACGGUUUCAAUGCCUCCUUGUGUCCAUGGGCGGGUGUUUAGUGUCGGUAUUGCCACUCCUAGGGCGGUUAGGGGGGUUGCUAGUGCCGUUGGGUGGUAGAGUACCAUUUUGUGUUUGGAUAUGUCCCAUUGUUGUAAAAUGUGUUGGGUCGUUGGUAGGAGAUGUGUGGUGUCUUUCCUAUGGCUUUUAGGGGUCCAAAAGAUAGAGUGUAAUGUCGGGUGUUGGGCCCAAUAGUUUUCUAUCUGUAGCCAUUGGGGUGACUCUUGCCUUUGGCGUAGGUGCGGUAUCACUGAUAGUGCUGCCGCUUUGUAGUAUGAUCCCAAGUCCGGGAGACCUAGUCCUCCGUGGGUUAUUGGUUUUUGCAAUACUUUAGUUGCUACUCUAGGUGUCUUAUGUUGCCAUAUGAAGCUUAUGAGUAGUUUCGUUAGAGUUUUAAGGAAGUUCCCCGGUAAUUGUAUUUGUAGCGAUCUAUAUAGGUAUUGCAGUUUUGGCAAUAGGGACAUUUUUAUUGCCGCUAUGCGUCCGACCCACGAUAGAUAUUUCCCUUCCCAGGAGUCUAGGGUGUUUUUGAAGGUUGUUAACAGGGGUUGGUAGUUUAGUUGAAACAAGGAAGUGGGGUUCUUAGCCAUUUUGAC